AUCAUGGGUAAACCUCAUUUUAUUUCGGCAGUCUCCUCCUGCAGGCGGGGUAACGGUCUUUUAUGUAAAUACGGAUGAAGAAUGUUGGCAAUGCCUGGAUCACAUUAGACGGGUUUUAGAAAACACGGAAAGCAGCAGCGUGCUCUUGUUAAAAUACAACACGGAUCCCCCCCCCCGAAUUAUUCGAGUACUGUCCGGCUAAAUAGUAAGUGCUUUAGGAAAUUUAAGAAAGUUAUACGCAGAUUGAAGUUAUAUGUUAUACGCAGACCGAAGCUCAUCGGAAAUGAAGAACAGUCAUGUAAACAUGGAUCGGUGUAAUCCAGCAGAUGGGUGUAAGAAGUUAAAACGAAAGGUUCGGGAUUCUGUUAAACGCGAGGGAAAGAGCUCACAUGAAUCUAAAAAAAAAAUCGACUCAGUGGCACCUUUGCUGAGGGAAAAAAAGUUACAGCCUUUUGAUCCAGCUGGAGAAUACAUACGGCAACCGGACAUUUUAAAUACUGCUCUUGACAUGAAAAUGUAUACUUUGCCAUCACUGACUAGGAAUGAAACGGAAACACCAUGGUCGACUUCAAAAACACCACUUAAAAACAGAAACGACACAGCAUCCCUACAAGUUUCAGUCUUCGAUAAUCAGCAAGCAUUUUCAAAAAACUGUCCUCCGCAAUCGAAUCUUUUGUUGUGCAAACGCUCUGAAAGUUCUCUCUGCUCAACCUCUCGGGGUCCAUACCUUCCUAACAGUGUUGACCCUACCGACUCAGUUAGGAAACGAUCAGAAGAGCAAUCUGCUGGCGUUGUCACCGAGAUCAAAGCAAUUCAGCAGACAAGAAGACUCCUGGCAAAUGCUAGAGAAAGGACCAGGGUUCAUACAAUCAGUGCCGCAUUUGAGGCACUGCGAAAGCAGGUGCCCUGCUACUCUUAUGGACAGAAGCUUUCCAAACUGGCUAUAUUAAGAAUUGCUUGCAACUAUAUACUGUCACUGGCACAACUUGUAGAUCUGGACUAUACACCAGACCACAGCAACAUGAGCUUCAGAGAGUGUGUUGAGCAGUGCACCAGAACCUUGCAGGCUGAGGGUCGCUCCAAGAAGAGAAAGAAACAUAGCAGUAGAAGUCAUGUACCGGGCAGAAGUGCCCAGUGACCUAAUACAUGCUGUGGUGUGCUGGGGCAGCAGGAUUAAAGCUUAUGAUCGAAAAGGAUUAUCAGAAAGGCCAACUCUGUUAUUGGGGUCAAUUCAACUCUCUGGAGAAGGUGUCAUAAAGAAGCAUGGUUCAUAGAUUCCUAGACAUCCUGGAUAAAGACUCACACACACUGGAGCAGAGUGCAACAGUACAGAAGUACUUUCAGCAGGAGGCUGAGACCAACAAGGUGUCCACAGAACACUAGGAAUAAAAAGAAGAAAGAAGAAGUUGACCACAGAAUGAUUAAGACAAGGACAUAAUCUACACUGAUGCAUCCUUACACUUGAAGUGUGACGUCACAGAAAAAAAUAUGAUAUAUACUACUACUACUAUUACUUCUACUACUACUAAUCAUCAUAAUAAUAAUAUGA